GGAUCAAUGACGCACCUUUGCAUCAGCUGAAGGAUCAAUCAUGAAUCCAGUUGAAGCUUGCGCCUCCAGUAGAAUCAGGGCUGUUCCUGGCAUCAGUACACCUUUUCUCAUGGCUUCAUAAAUGCUCAUUCUCUGAUUGGAUGAGAGUAGAGCAAUGCCUGCAAUACUUCCUUUGCCUUGCAGGUAGUCUUUUACUGUUUCCAUCAACAUCACAUCCUGUGUAGUGGUAUUUCCCUUCUGUAGGUCAUCAAAUGUUUUCAUGUCAAUGAUCUUUGAUUCAAGGAGCUGAUUGGAGGAAAUCCCUUUUCGCAAGCCUUUGAACGUGACGGAAACAGGAAGGAGCCGCAGGCCUGUGUCAGACUCCAAAGUGCAUUUCUCAAGGAGGUUUCGGUAGUUGAGAUGUUUUUGUAGGCUUGGACUGUAGUACACUUUGAGCUCCGGCAUCUUGUCAUUGAGCAAACCCUUUUCAUAGAAGCCUUUUUCAAUCGCAGAUUCAACUGAAAUAUUUGAUUUCUCAAUGGGAUCAAACAGGCCUUUUGUGGUGAUCUGUGCUUCCAGAAGCCUCAAUCCAUACUCUCUGGGGACUAAAUCUUUUUGCACAGCUUGGUACAAGGAUAUCAUUUGGUCGGUGUAUGGGUCUACAUAGCCAUUAACAGCUUUCUCGGCUGUGAGGAGUUUCUCUUUCAUCUCCGGUCCAACUAUUCCCUCCGUAACAGCAUCAGCAACACGAAGGGUUCGAUUGUUUAUUGGGUCGACGAUGCCCACUGUGGCAGCUUGUGCCUCCAGCAGGGCCACUGCUGUUCCUGGCUGAAGAAGACGUUUCUUCAUUGCUUGAUAUAUGACAGUCUCUCUCCGGUCAGCAGCUGCUGUGAGGGGUAUCGGGACCUUGAGCAGCUCCCAAUGUCUCAGGGGAAUCCGGUGCUCCCUGGUCACAUAUACAGCUGUUAAGUCCCGCCCCCUCAGCCUCCUGGUGACAUAUACAGCUGCAGCCAGUUCGUGACAAGCAGAGCCGGACGGGUUACUGACUCCAGAGAACCUUUCCUUUGUUUGACAUUCCUCCUUCAGUCAAUCUGAAAGCUGCCGCUGAUCCAGAACGCUGCAGCUCAAGUCCACACAGGACCAGGGAAGUGGAUCACAUCACUCCAGUUCUCAGGUUGUCUGUUUUACAGACUCAUCAGACUCCGGUUCCUAGGAGACUGGGCGGAGGAGGAGUAGGAGGAAACAUCUUUGGAUUACAGGUAGGAACACGUCUCCAUCACGACGGACAUUUGUGUUUUUUUGCUCUGAGGGAGACAAAUACUUUUCUCUUUUACAGACCUAAAGCAGUGAAGGUCACCAAAUGCUGGUAGAGCGAGGGAAUCGGCAGGAUUCGAGCAUCAAAGUGGGCAGUGCAGCUUGAGACCUCAGUAGAAUGGAGUCGUAAAAGCAGAAUGCAGCAGCCCGUCUCCUGACCGGGACAAAGAAGCAUGGCCACAUAACGCCAGUGCUUUCUUCUCCACUGGCUUCCAGUCGACGGGUGAAUAGAAGGUGGUGAAGAAUCUGCAGCAGAGGGAAGCAGCUGACGCAGCACAACAGGCCGCAUACAGGAAAGGACAGAGGAGACUCUGCUUCCCCGGGAAGCCCCGCACCGUCCCUGCGCUCAACAAAGUGACAUUUAGGCAGCUUUGUUGUUGCAAGCAGUGUUACGGUGACACGCGUGGUUCAGUGAUGAAAACGAAGCGUCUCCUCUGCAGCUCAAAGCCCAGCGGGAGUGUAGACGGCGUGAGACAAGCAGAGGGGCGGUGGGGCUGCAGGUUUCCAGGAAUUUAGAAGCCGCCCCACACACACGCACACGCACACGCACACACACACACACACACACACACACACACACACACACACACACGCACACGCACACGCACGCACACAAACCAGUAUAACCAUCCUGGCAACUCCACCUUAGUGACCCGCUGACACUAAUCACCCAGGGGCCCGAGGGGCCUCCUGGAAUCCUUCACACAGCUCCAACAUUUCAGAAAUAACGCAGCGCGGUGCGACAUCGGCAGCGCCGAAUCACCUGGUCUACUUUUGGUUUUAAUGUUAUUACAGAGGGUGUAAAAAUAUUCUUAUUUAUGCAUGUUAUUUAUUUGAAUUUAAAUAUAUAUACUUAUUGCAUAUGAGCGUAUGUAGGGACCUUUCUUUAAACUUGGCUCUGUGUGAAUUCUUUAAGAGUUUUAUUCUUUAUUAUUCAUUUUUAUUUAACUCAAGCCAUUUGAUUAGUUCGGAUGGGAAAUGCUAACAACUCGUGGUCAUAAGCCACACAGGUUGGGAAGCUGCAAAUGCAAAAUGUAUUCUCUUAUGAAAUUUUACAAUUAUAUUUUUUGUAGAAUCUUAAUCUGCAAGUGAAAAAAUAACUAAAGCUGUUGAAUACAUUUUAAAAUACAAUACAAUACAAAAGAGUGAACCUGAUGAAAAUCAAUUUAUACUUGAAAAGUCUUUUUCCAUCAUGCUGGAGAUGACCACUACUACAAUGACCCUUAUUAAUGCUUAUUUGGUAUUUUCUGUGGAGUAAAAACCAAUAUGAAUAUUCUCUCAAAUAACAUAAUGUAUUCAUGUGGAAUGCAAGAUUAGAUAUGAAAUAAAGUGACAAACUAGUAAAUUGUUGAAAUUUAAACCAACGUGAAGAAUCAUGAUUUAAAAAAAGAAAAGAAGCUGUUUAUGAAAAGAUAUUUUAUUUUUCUUUGUGGAGUAAAAUAACACAUACAAAAUAAGAACCAUAACGGACUUAUUUUUUUAAUGUCAAAGCCUUAUUUAAUAUCGAUAUAUUGCACAAACAAACUGUGCAGAAACAUUUAUGCCAUCAGUGUGAACAGAACUGUCAUCGGUACAAAACAGAAGGGGAAAACGAACAGAUUCGAUAACAAACUGUGAACCAGCUGGCUGCUUUAAUCCACUUCCACGUCUGGCUCAGUGUGUUCGGAGGGAGGCGGCGGCGGCGGCGGCUCCCGGGGCGGCUCUGGGCGUGGCAGAAGGACGAAGAAGAUCAGUCUGCAAUCCUGAUGUAUUCAACAAAUGGAUGCAUAUUAUUUUUUAAUCACGCUAAAUAGAGGUGGCCUACGGCGUGCACAGAGGAUCACAGCAGCGGCCCCAGGCCGCGGUGGAGGCGGGUAGUGGAGGAACGCCGGGGGCCCGCGGGGGCCGUAGCUGUAAAGCCCAGCGGGCACGGGGUGAAACCCCGGCACGUUGAGCAGGAUGUUUGGACGCGGCACGUAGUCGCCGGGGUAACCGGACAUCCAGGGGACGUGGAGGACAGGCAGAGGGGCGGCCGGACCAAAUUCACCAAGGAAAGGGGCACCUGUGAGGAAAGGGUCUUUUGGGUCUUUCCUGCGGCAGGAUGGAGUCCAAGCCCCAAACAACUUGCAAUAUCAUAUUAUGCCUGUUAUAAUAAAGCAUUGUUCACAUUUCAACAAGUCUCUUCGGAUUGAAAUGUGUCCACUGCAUAUUUAGGUGCUGCAGUCGAAACCUUGAUUAAAAGAUCAACCAUAAUAACUCGUAUACUUGUAUGGCACUUAAAAAUAGUAUAUAAUAAAAGUAAUAACACUGAUUUUUGUCGUAAUUGUUUUCUGUGAUUGAUUUGUACAUGUUACUGCUAUAGAUGUUUCUUAUGUACUGAGUGAUAGUUUACAGAUAUGCAGCACAUUGUUUAAGAACCAAAGGUCACAGUACAGCUCGUGUUACAGACAGUGGAAGAGAAUGUUUGGCUUUUUUUGUUGAAAGUGAAAACUAUACACUGUAAAACCUGAUGAGUAAAGUCAACUCAAAUAGUUCUAGGAAACCGAUUGCCUUGAACCAUUUAAGUUAAAUAACUCAAAUCCUUUUAGUGAAAAUAGUUGCUUAAAUGGAGUAUUCCUAACUCAAGUAUUUCUUGUUAGGUAUACUUAAGUAAAUAAGUGACUAGUACUAAUUCCAUU
ensembl:lncRNA